rnacentral:rRNA from 1 species
CCUACGGGAGGCAGCAGUAAGGAAUAUUGGUCAAUGGACGCAAGUCUGAACCAGCCAUGCCGCGUGAAGGAUUAAGGUCCUCUGGAUUGUAAACUUCUUUUAUUUGGGACGAAAAAGGGCCUUUCUAGGUCAACUGACGGUACCAGAUGAAUAAGCACCGGCUAACUCCGUGCCAGCAGCCGCGGUAAUACGGAGGGUGCAAGCGUUAUCCGGAUUCACUGGGUUUAAAGGGUGCGUAGGCGGGUAGGUAAGUCAGUGGUGAAAUCCUAGAGCUUAACUCUAGAACUGCCAUUGAUACUAUCUAUCUUGAAUAUUGUGGAGGUAAGCGGAAUAUGUCAUGUAGCGGUGAAAUGCUUAGAUAUGACAUAGAACACCUAUUGCGAAGGCAGCUUACUACGCAUAUAUUGACGCUGAGGCACGAAAGCGUGGGGAUCAAACAGGAUUAGAUACCCUGGUAGUCCACGCCCUAAACUAUGGAUACUCGACAUUUGUGAUACACAAUAAGUGUUNUGAGAGAAGAGAUAAGUAUCCACCGUCGGUAGUACGUUCGCGAGAGUUAGAACGACAANAGAGUUAGUUACGGCGUUGAGACGNGCGACGGACGACGACGAGGGAGGAGG